UACCCCUUGCAGCCCUGGGCGGCCCGCACAUAGCAUAACAAACCAAAUAUAACCCACCCAGACGGCCAACGCUUUGGACCAAUAGAAAGGAGUCUCUAAAACAAACCAAAAAGCCUUCAAGAAGUGCUAUUUCAAACUACCCUUCACCACUGGGCAGAUACCGUCUUCAACAGACAGGGUGUGGAUAUAUAUCCCAGUCACAUUAAUCCUGCCUCAUGACGCUCAAAUCUAUGAUAUCAGGCUUCUCAAGUAUCCUUGUUGCGGUUGAUAACUAUCAGUAUCGCAACCGCCGACAUGGAGCCUGGGAGUUCUCGGUGUGAUUCCCAACAUUUGGAAGGCUCUACACAGAGACUAAUAAAAAACCGACAUUUGAAUAGUGGACAUUUGACCAGCAUCUGAGGGAUCGAGGCACAAGUACAUUACAUUUAGCAACAGCAUCGUCAACCCACCGCUGUGAUUUGGCUGGGUAAGGGAUCAUGGGAGAAAAAGGCGCUAGAUUUUAGUGGGCACCUCUCAAAUCGGCUUCGGACAUACAGUGCAAAGGAUGUGAGGUGCUCUGCAACUCCGAUAUGCCUCAUCCAUACCGAGACUUCGUUCACCCUAUCCAGGUGAUUUCACUUCUCUCUCGCGCGACUUAGUUCGGCAUUUUUGGUACAUAGUUACUACAAACGGGGACACGCUCAAUCAUUCUUCCCAGUUUUUCUACCAAUUUAUCAUGCGUUGACCAUGAUGAAAAUUGCAGCCAAUGCGCUUUGCCUAAGGGCAAGGUGUGGCUAGGGAGGACAUCCCGUAUAUCUAUGGGGC
rnacentral:sRNA from 1 species